rnacentral:rRNA from 1 species
GACGAACGCUGGCGGCGUGCUUAACACAUGCAAGUCGAACGGAAAGGCCUCUUUCGGGGGGUACUCGCGUGGCGAACGGGUGAGUAACACGUGAGUACCCUGCCCUUCACUUUGGGAUAACUUCCGUCAACUGGCGCUAAUACCUGAUAGGAGCUCCUGCUGCCUGGUUGGGGUUGUAGAGUUUCGGCGUUUGGGGUUGGACUCGCGGCUUAUCCGCUUGUUGGUGGGGUAGUGGCUUACCAAGGCUUUGCCGGGUAGCCGGCCUGAGAGGGUGACCGGCCACAUUGGGACUGAGAUACGGCCCAGACACCGACGGGAGGCAGCAGGGGGGAAGAGUGCACAAUGGGUGGAAGCCGGAUGCAGCAAGGCCGUGUGCGGGAUGACGGCCUUAGGGUGGUAAAACGAUUUCGCUCAUGACGAAGCUUUGUGUGACGGUAGUGGGUAAAGAAGCACCGGCUAACUACGUG